GAACGCUGGCGGCGGCCUACACAUGCAAGUCGAACGGUAACAUUUCUAGCUUGCUAGAAGAUGACGAGUGGCGGACGGGUGAGUAAUGCUUGGGAACUUGCCUUUGCGAGGGGGAUAACAGUUGGAAACGACUGCUAAUACCGCAUAAUGUCUUCGGACCAAACGGGGCUUCGGCUCCGGCGCAAAGAGAGGCCCAAGUGAGAUUAGCUAGUUGGUAAGGUAACGGCUUACCAAGGCGACGAUCUCUAGCUGUUCUGAGAGGAAGAUCAGCCACACUGGGACUGAGACACGGCCCAGACUCCUACGGGAGGCAGCAGUGGGGAAUAUUGCACAAUGGGGGAAACCCUGAUGCAGCCAUGCCGCGUGUGUGAAGAAGGCCUUCGGGUUGUAAAGCACUUUCAGUUGUGAGGAAAAGUUAGUAGUUAAUACCUGCUAGCCGUGACGUUAACAACAGAAGAAGCACCGGCUAACUCCGUGCCAGCAGCCGCGGUAAUACGGAGGGUGCGAGCGUUAAUCGGAAUUACUGGGCGUAAAGCGCACGCAGGCGGUUUGUUAAGCUAGAUGUGAAAGCCCCGGGCUCAACC
rnacentral:rRNA from 1 species